rnacentral:lncRNA from 1 species
UUUUGUUAUUUUAUAGCUAAUAUAUUGAUACUAAAAUGCAUCCAUACUAAACAUAUUAUUAAAAGUUGAAAAAAAUGAGACUUUCAAAUUAUUCCUAUCACAAAGCUGUAAUAGACAAUAUCUCCAUCCAUGCACUACUUGGGAAGAGAUUUCUUUCUUUCUUUUAAAAGAAAUCUAUUCAAAUGCUCUGAGUUAUUGAUUGCUGUUAAAAAUAAAAUUACCAUCCCUGAUCUGAGACCAGGUGGCAAACACCUGCUAUUCUGCAAAAUUCCACUGUCAGAUAUAAAUAUGAUGAUGACUGGUGGAAGCAGAAAGGACAACUGGGAACCCUGAAACAGAUAGCUCUUGAUUGUUAAUAAAACACAGUGAAAUAUUAGAGGCCAGUGCUUAGCCAUUAUCGAGAAAAAUGACCCUG